rnacentral:rRNA from 1 species
GACGAACGCUGGCGGCGUGCUUAACACAUGCAAGUCGAACGGAAGGGCCAGGCUUUUGUGGGGUGCUCGUGUGGCGAACGGGUGAGUAACACGUGAGUAAAAUGCCCUUGACAUUGGGAUAAAUUCAGGAAAAUGGGGCUAAUACCGGGUAUGAGCUCCUGAUGCAUGGGGGGGGAUGGAAAGAUUCGGCUGUUGGGGAUGGUCUCGCGGGUUAUGCGCUUGAUGGUGGAGUAGUGGCGUACCACGGCUUUGAAGGGUAGCCGGCCUGAGAGGGUGACCGGCCACAUUGGGCCUGAGGUACGCCCCAGACUCCUACGUGAGGCAGCAGUGGGGAAUAUUGCACAAUGGGCGGACGCCUGAUGCAGCAACGCCGCGUGCGGGAUGCCGUCCUUCGGGUUGUAAACCGCUUUCGCAUGUGACGAAGCGUGAGUGACGGUAAUGGGUAAGAAAGCCCCGGCUAACUACGUG